UACGUAGGGUGCGAGCGUUAAUCGGAAUUACUGGGCGUAAAGCGUGCGCAGGCGGUUCUGUAAGACCGAUGGGAAAUCCCCGGGCUUAACCUGGGAACUGCAUUGGUGACUGCAGGGCUAGAGUGUGUCAGAGGGAGGUGGAAUUCCGCGUGUAGCGGUGAAAUGCGUAGAGAUGCGGAGGAACACCGAUGGCGAAGGCAGCCUCCUGGGAUAACACUGACGCUCAUGCACGAAAGCGUGGGGAGCAAACAGG
rnacentral:rRNA from 1 species